rnacentral:rRNA from 1 species
GAAGUUUCCUUCGGGAAACGGAUUAGCGGCGGACGGGUGAGUAACACGUGGGUAACCUGCCUCAUAGAGUGGAAUAGCCUUCCGAAAGGAAGAUUAAUACCGCAUAACGUUGAAAGAUGGCAUCAUCAUUCAACCAAAGGAGCAAUCCGCUAUGAGAUGGACCCGCGGCGCAUUAGCUAGUUGGUGGGGUAACGGCCUACCAAGGCGACGAUGCGUAGCCGACCUGAGAGGGUGAUCGGCCACAUUGGGACUGAGACACGGCCCAGACUCCUACGGGAGGCAGCAGUGGGGAAUAUUGCACAAUGGGGGAAACCCUGAUGCAGCAACGCCGCGUGAGUGAUGAAGGUUUUCGGAUCGUAAAGCUCUGUCUUUGGGGAAGAUAAUGACGGUACCCAAGGAGGAAGCCACGGCUAACUACGUGCCAGCAGCCGCGGUAAUACGUAGGUGGCGAGCGUUAUCCGGAUUUACUGGGCGUAAAGGGAGCGUAGGCGGAUGAUUAAGUGGGAUGUGAAAUACCCGGGCUCAACUUGGGUGCUGCAUUCCAAACUGGUUAUCUAGAGUGCAGGAGAGGACAGUGGAAUUCCUAGUGUAGCGGUGAAAUGCGUAGAGAUUAAGAAGAACACCAGUGGCGAAGGCGACUCUCUGGACUGUAACUGACGCUGAGGCUCGAAAGCGUGGGGAGCAAACAGGAUUAGAUACCCUGGGUAGUCCACGCCGUAAACGAUGAAUACUAGGUGUGGGGGUUUCAACACCUCCGUGCCGCCGCUAACGCAUUAAGUAUUCCGCCUGGGGAGUACGGUCGCAAGAUUAAAACUCAAAGGAAUUGACGGGGACCCGCACAAGUAGCGGAGCAUGUGGUUUAAUUCGAAGCAACGCGAAGAACCUUACCUACACUUGACAUCCCUUGCAUUACUCUUAAUCGAGGAAAUCCCUUCGGGGACAAGGUGACAGGUGGUGCAUGGUUGUCGUCAGCUCGUGUCGUGAGAUGUUGGGUUAAGUCCCGCAACGAGCGCAACCCUUGUCGUUAGUUACUACCAUUAAGUUGAGGACUCUAGCGAGACUGCCUGGGUUAACCAGGAGGAAGGUGGGGAUGACGUCAAAUCAUCAUGCCCCUUAUGUGUAGGGCUACACACGUGCUACAAUGGCUGGUACAGAGAGAUGCAAUACCGCGAGGUGGAGCCAAACUUAAAAACCAGUCUCAGUUCGGAUUGUAGGCUGAAACUCGCCUACAUGAAGCUGGAGUUACUAGUAAUCGCGAAUCAGAAUGUCGCGGUGAAUACGUUCCCGGGUCUUGUACACACCGCCCGUCACACCAUGAGAGUUGGCAAUACC